rnacentral:rRNA from 1 species
CGCCUUCUGACCUAUAAACAUAGAAGGUCCUGCCUGCCCAGUGACCAUGUUCAACGGCCGCGGUAUCAUGACCGUGCAAAGGUAGCGUAAUCACUUGUCUUUUAAAUAAAGACCAGUAUGAACGGCUAAACGAGGGCCUAACUGUCCCCCUAAACUAGUCAGUGAAAUUGAUCUUCCCGUGCAGAAGCGGGAGUAAAAAUAUAAGACGAGAAGACCCUGUGGAGCUUAUAAAUCCAAGCUACAAACAUGUACGCACCCGAUUUUUGGUUGGGGCGACCAUGAGGCAAAAUGACCCCUCAAGACUUAAAAUCAGAAGGACACUUCAAACUAAGGCACACCACCCACGCAUUGACCCAAUACUUGACCAACGAACCAAGUUACCCCAGGGAUAACAGCGCAAUCCUCUCACAGAGCCCCUAUCGACGAGAAGGUUUACGACCUCGAUGUUGGAUCAGGACUCCCAAGCGGCGCAGCAGCUGUCAAAGGUUCGUUUGUUCAACGAUUAAAGUCCU